AAUGGGGUAUUUUGGAAGGGAAAAUGUGUGAUUUUUGGGUUAAAUGGGGGAUUUUUCAAGAGAAAAUGUGUGAUUUUCAGUUAAAUCGCGGAUUCUCAAUGAGAAAAUGCCUGAUGUUUGCAUUAAAUGUGUGAUUUUCGUAGAGAUAAUGCGUGAUUUUCAGGUUACAUGGGAGAUUUUUGAAGAGAAAAUGCGUGAUUUUCGGUUAAUUGGGUGAUUUCUGCAAAGAAAAUGCAUCAUUUUUGGGUUAAAUUGUGUAUUUUUGCAGAGAGAAUGCUUGAUUUUCAUUUAAAUGAGGGAUUUCUUGCAGAGACAAUGCUUGAUUUUUGUUUAAAUGAGGGAUUUUGGCAGAGAACAUGCGUGAUUUUGGGGUUAAACGGGGGAUUUCUGCAAAGAAAAUGCAUCAUUCUUGGGUUAAAUUGUGUAUUUUUGCAGAGAGAAUGCUUGAUUUUCAUUUAAAUGAGGGAUUUCUUGCAGAGACAAUGCUUGAUUUUUGUUUAAAUGUGGGAUUUUGGCAGAGAACAUGCGUGAUUUUGGGGUUAAACAGGGGAUUUCUGCAAAGAAAAAAAAUCAUGAUUCUCAGGUAAAAUUCGGUGUAGUUGAAGGGAAAAUGCAUGAUUUUCGGGUUAAAUGGGGGAUUUCGGAAGAGAAAAUGCGUGUUGUUUGAGAUAAACGGGGGAUUUUUGUAGAGCGAAUGCAUGAUUUUCACGUUUAAAUGGGGGGUUUUGGAAGAGAAAAUGUGUGAUUUUGGUUAAAUGGGGGUUUUCCAGAGAAAUGCAUGACUUUCUGUUAAUGGAGGAUUUUGUGGUAAAAAUGCGUGGUUUCCAG
ensembl:lncRNA